rnacentral:rRNA from 1 species
GACGAACCGUCCAAACGUUAUUCGGAAUCACUGGGCUUACAGAGUUCGUAGGCGGUCUGGAAAGUUGGGUGUGAAAUCCCUCGGCCUAACCGAGGAACUGCGCUUGAAACUACCAGACUCGAGGGAGAUAGAGGAAAGCGGAACUGAUGGUGGAGCGGUGAAAAUGCGUUGAUAUCAUCAGGAACACCGGUGGCGAAGGCGGCUUCUUGGGCCGUUCCUGACGCUGAGGCGCGAAAGCUGGGGGAGCGAACGGG